rnacentral:misc_RNA from 1 species
CGCAUAUUGCGCCCAUUAGUAUUCUAGUGGGCAUGCCUAUUCGAGCGUCAUUUCAACCCUUAAGCCCUGUUGCUUAGUGUUGGGAGUCUACCGCCUGGCGGUAGUUCCUAAAAGGUAGUGGCGGUGUCAGGGCACACUCGUAGCGUAGUAAUUUUCUUCUCGCUUCUGUAGUGGUUCUGGCAACCUGCCGUAAAACCCCUUAUUUUCUAGUGGUUGACCUCGGAUUAGGUAGGAAUACCCGCUGAACUUAA